rnacentral:lncRNA from 1 species
UUCGGCUGAGGGGAAGGAGGCACGCGACUGAGUGACAAUGGGUGUGAACCGACCUUUCUCUGUCAGCCUGCAGUGGGUCUGCCACCCUCUCAGGGAGAGCUCAAUGGCUGGAACGCACUGCAAGACAGAAGAAGAAUUGGAGUGGGGGCUGAUUUUGUCAUCACCAGUGAGUCCUCAGGGCUGUGGGUCUGUCGAGGCCCGGCAGCUGGCCGGCAUUAUUCACGAUAGCCAAGAUGUGGAAGCAACUCAAAUGUCCUUCUACAGAUGAAUGGAUAAAGAAGAUGUAUAUAUAUAUAUAUACAAUGGAAUACUACUCAGCCAUAAAAAAGACAAAGUCAUCCCAUUUGCAACAACAUGGAUAGAACUUGAGGGUAUGAUAUUAAGUGAAAUGAGCCAGACAGAGAAAGGCAAGUACUGCAUGAUUUCACUCAUAUGUGGAAGAUGAGGAAACACAGG